GCCAAGAUUAAGAAAAACCAAUUCGGCGCCAUCCCCAAGUCCUCCACAACAUUUGCUCUUAUCACCAUGUUCCAUAAAUGGACAAAAGAUACUGACGAAAAUGGCGCCACCACACCACAAGAGUUGUCCUCUUCAAUUUUCGCAAGGCUUUUGAUCUCAUCGAUCAUAAUAUUCUUGCCACGAAACUCGCGACCUUAAAUAUCCCUCAUAAGAUCGAAUGUUGGAUCAUAGACUUCCUUAAACACCGUAAGCAGCGAGUCAAAUUGGCGGAUGACUGCAAAUCAGAAUGGAGGGAUAUUCCAGCAGGUGUCCCCCAGGGGACCAAGUUGGAGCCGUGGCUUUUUCUACUAAUGAUCGAUGACAUUGACAACACUAACACUGACAUUUGGAAGUUUGUGGACGACAACACAAUGUCCGAGUGUGUGGAGAGAGGCA